GGAAGUUAGUCUAACCAAGACAGUUGAUUUCGGCUCAAC
rnacentral:tRNA from 1 species